AGCAGGUUCAGGGGCCUGAGUCCAGGGAUCACUUUGCCUGUGUUAACAAUCAGCAUUGCACCCUCACGGCAGUAAAACAACCACCCUGCUGCUUCACGGGCCAGGAGAGACCGAUCUAAACUCAAAGAGCUCGGUGAACAGUGAGCACUGGUGUUACAUAGAGUGACCAGGAUGAAGAGAGAACUGAUUAAAUAGACUUGAAGAAAUGCAGUGACUUGCACUGAUGCAGGUGUCCACCAGAUGCUGCAUGCAGACAGAGAGGCAAGCGAAGCCGGCAGAGAGGCAAGCAGACUGCACUGUCUCAGGUCUUGCCAGGAACGGCAUUGGAUGGAGAUGUAACAUCCACUUCUAAUCAAGAUCCUGUGGGCAGGAUUGGAACAGCAAGUGGCUCUCCAGGGACAGUACAGACUGUAGGAUCAAAAAUGAUUUAUUUCUUUGUGUGUCAUGCAAACCAAUC
ensembl:lncRNA